GCGGAGGAAAAGAAACCAACAGGGAUUGCCCCAGUAACGGCGAGUGAAGCGGCAAAAGCUCAAAUUUGAAAUCUGGCUCCUUCCGGGGUCCGAGUUGUAAUUUGAAGAGGAUGCUUUGGGUGCGUCCGCGGCGUAAGUCCCCUGGAACGGGGCGUCAUAGAGGGUGAGAAUCCCGUCUUGAGUCGCUGGGCGCGCCCGUCUAAAGCUCCUUCGACGAGUCGAGUUGUUUGGGAAUGCAGCUCUAAGUGGGUGGUAAAUUUCAUCUAAAGCUAAAUAUUGGCCGGAGACCGAUAGCGAACAAGUAGAGUGAUCGAAAGGUUAAAAGCACCUUGAAAAGGGAGUUAAAUAGCACGUGAAAUUGUUGAAAGGGAAGCGCUUGCAGCCAGACUCGAGCGCGGGGGUUCAGCGGGCAUGUCAUGCCCGUGCACUCCCCUGCGCCCGGGCCAGCAUCAGCUUUGGCGGCCGGUCAAAGGCCCCCGGAAUGUGUCGUCCUCCGGGACGUCUUAUAGCCGGGGGUGCAAUGCGGCCAGCCGGGGCUGAGGAACGCGCUUCGGCACGGAUGCUGGCGUAAUGGCUGUAAGCGGCCCGUCUUGAAACACGGACCAAGGAGUCUAACAUCCACGCGAGUGUUCGGGUGUCAAACCCGUACGCGCAGUGAAAGCGAACGGAGGUGAGAGCCCCUCGGGGUGCAUCAUCGACCGAUCCUGAAGUCUUCGGAUGGAUUUGAGUAAGAGCGUGGCUGUUGGGACCCGAAAGAUGGUGAACUAUGCCUGAAUAGGGUGAAGCCAGAGGAAACUCUGGUGGAGGCUCGCAGCGGUUCUGACGUGCAAAUCGAUCGUCAAAUUUGGGUAUAGGGGCGAAAGACUAAUCGAACCAUCGUCCCUU
rnacentral:misc_RNA from 1 species